rnacentral:rRNA from 1 species
UACGUAGGUGGCAAGCGUUGUCCGGAUUUACUGGGCGUAAAGGAUGCGUAGGCGGACAUUUAAGUCAGAUGUGAAAUACCCGAGCUUAACUUGGGUGCUGCAUUUGAAACUGGGUGUCUAGAGUGCAGGAGAGGUAAGUGGAAUUCCUAGUGUAGCGGUGAAAUGCGUAGAGAUUAGGAAGAACACCAGUGGCGAAGGCGACUUACUGGACUGUAACUGACGCUGAGGCCUGAAAGCGUGGGGAGCAAACAGG